rnacentral:rRNA from 1 species
UGUGGUCAAGUGUAUAAGGGCGCUCGGGGGAUGUCUUGGCAUAAGAAGGCGAUGAAGGGCGUGGAAGUCUGCGAAAAGCCUGGGGUAGUUGACAAACAAACGUUGAUCCCGGGAUUCCUGAAUGACAUAUGUUGAAUUCAUAGGCAUAUGUGGCAAACCUGGUGAACUGAAACAUCUAAGUAACCAGUGGAAGAGAAAGAAAAAUCGAUUCCCUUAGUAGCGGCGAGCGAACAGGGAAGAGCCCAAACCCAGAGGGUUUCCUUCUGGGGGUUGUAGGGCAGUUCGAAUGGCCUAGCUGAACGUGUAGUGGAAUUUUCUGGAAAGUAAUACCACAGAGGGUGACAGUCCCGUACACGAAACGCAAGUAAGCUUGGUCGAACUGUUCCUGAGUAGGUCGGGUCACGUGAAACCCCGACUGAAUCUACGGGGACCAUCCCGUAAGGCUAAAUACUCUCUUAUGACCGAUAGUGAACUCAGUAGGNUGACUGAAAGAUGGAAAGAACCCCUGUUAGGGGAGGUAUUGAACCUGAAACCGAGUGCCUACAAGCGGUCGGAGCACUAUGAUUUUAAUCAGUGUGACGGCGUGCCUUUUGCAUAAUGAUCCGGCGAGUUACUGUUUGCGGCAGGCAAAGGCCUUUCGGGCCACAGCCAGAGGGAAACCGAGUCUUAAUAGGGCGAAUUAUUGUCGUAAGUAGUAGACGCGAAACUGCGUGAUCUACCCAUGGGCAGGUUGAAGCGCGGGUUAUACCGCGUGGAGGACCGAACCCACUAGGGUUGAAAACCUAGGGGAUGACCUGUGGGGAGGAGUGAAAGUCUAAUCAAACGCAGAGAUAGCUCGUUCUCUCCGAAAUAGCUUUAGGGCUAGCCUUGAGCCACUACGUACCGGGGGUAGAGAUACUGAAUUGGAUGGGGGCCCUUCCCAGGGUACCCCACCGAACCAAACUCCGAAUACCGGUACGAUUAUCUCAGGAGUCAGUCCGCGGGGGAUAAGCUUCGCGGUCGAGAGGGAAACAACCCAGACCAUCUGCUAAGGUCCCUAAGUAAUACUAAGUCACUAAGGAAGUGAUGUUGCUGAGACAGCUAGGAUGUUGGCUUAGAAGCAGCCACCAUUUAAAAAGUGCGUAACAGCUUACUAGUCGAGCAAUNUCGCGCCGAUAAUGAACGGGAGUAAGUAUUACACCGAAGCAGUGGAUUCCAGUUUAACUGGAGUGGUAGGAGAGCGCUGUACAUCAGAUACGAGCCGUACGGAAACGAACGGUGGUGGGGUGUACAGGUGAUUAUGCCGGAAUGAGUAACGAUAAAGCAGGUGAGAAUCCUGCUCGCCGAAAGCCUAAGGUUUCCUGGGGAAGGCAAUUCCGCCCAGGGUUAGCCGGUACCUAAGUCGAGGCUGAAAAGCAUAGACGAUGGAUAGCAGGUCAACAUUCCUGCGCUACCUUAAUCGUUGUCCGAUGGAGGGACGGCGUCCAAAAAACUUAACGGGUGAUAGAAUACCCGUGUGCCAGACUGAGCUGGGGAGUUUAAACACUCCCGGAAAGCAAGGGAAAUGGCAGCAUCCCGAUUAUGUUGGAGAACUAGGUUGGAAGGACGUCCAAGAAAAGCUUCUAAGGCAGAUUAAGGUAACCGUACUAAAACUGACACAGGUAGGCGGGUCGAGUAGACUAAGGCGCUCGGGAGAACGGUGGUUAAGGAACUCUGCAAAAUGGCCCCGUAAGUUCGCGAUAAGGGGUGCCGCUGGAGGUGAGAGCGUCCGGCGGCCACAGAAAAUCGGCUCCUGCGACUGUUUAUCAAAAACACAGGACUCUGCCAACUCGUAAGAGGACGUAUAGAGUCUGACGCCUGCCCGGUGCCGGUAGGUUAAGGAAGACGGUUAUCCCAUUAGGGAGAAGCUGGCGACCGAAGCCCCGGUAAACGGCGGCCGUAACUAUGACGGUCCUAAGGUAGCGAAGUUCCUUGUCGGGUAAGUUCCGACCUGC